rnacentral:rRNA from 1 species
AUGAGUGUACUCUGUUGGAACUGCCGCGGUGCGGGCAAAGCCGCGACAGUUUGUGAACUUCGCAAAUUCGCGAGGAAAUUUGCCCCUACCCUGUUGUGUAUCGUAGAAACCCAGCUUGAAGGCUCAAGGGUAGAAGCUUUAGCAGGAACUCUUGGUUAUGAACAUGGUUAUGCAGUUAGUAGUCGUGGUAGAAGUGGUGGAAUUGGUAUGUUUUGGAACAAUGAAAUAAAUGUCAAGAUUUUGGGUUACUCUGACUAUCACCAAGAUUGCUCGGUCCUUGAACCGGGUGAUGAUCCCUGGAGGUUAACUGUAGUAUAUGGCGAAGCUCAAACCCACUUGAGACACCAGACGUGGGACACGUUAAAAAAAAUCAGCACUUUGAGCAACCUCUCCUGGCUUUGUGUUGGUGAUUUCAAUGAAGUGCUAUGUCCAGAAGAACACGUAGGAGUCGGACAGCGCAGCAAUGCACGAAUCCAAGCUUUCAGAGAUGCCGUCAAUGUUUGCAUGUUGCUAGACAUUGGUUUUGCUGGUAUUCCAUGGACCUUCGAAAAGAAGGUCACGAGAGGAACAUUUACUAGGGUACGCCUCGACAGAGCCCUGGUCUCGGCUGAGUGGCACGCCCGCUUUCCCUUGGCUGAUCUCACACAUCUAGUUGCAGCUAUGUCAGAUCAUAGCGCUAUCUUGGCAAGAAUGAAUAGAGAGCAAAGGAAUAACCCAAGGCCAAACUCGUUUAAAUACGAGGUCAUGUGGGAGGGCCAUGAAUCCUGGUGCAGCAAGAUUUCGAAGGCAUGGGCCAACCCCUGA